CCUACGGGAGGCAGCAGUGAGGAAUCUUCGUCAAUGGGCGCGAGCCUGAACCAGCCAAGUAGCGUGAAUGAUGACUGCCCUACGGUUUGUAAACUUCUUUUAUAAAGGAAUAAAGUGAGGCACGUGUGCCUUUUUGUAUGUACUUUAUGUAUAAGGAUCGGCUAACUCCGUUCCAGCAGACGCGGUAAUACGGAGGAUCCGAGCGUUAUCCGGAUUUAUUUGGUUUAAAGGGAGCGUAGAUGGGUUGUUAAGUCAGUUGUGAAAGUUUGCGGCUCAACCGGAAAAUUGCAAUUGAUACUGGGAGUCUUGAGUACAGGUGAGGUAGGCGGAACUCGUGGUGUAGCGGUGAAAUGCUUAGAUAUCACGAAGAACUCCGAUUGCGAAGGCAGCUUACUAAACUGCAACUGACAUUGAUGCUCGAAAGUGUGGGUAGCAAACAGGAUUAGAUACCCCUGUAGUC
rnacentral:rRNA from 1 species